rnacentral:tRNA from 1 species
GCCUGGAUAGCUCAGUUGGUAGAGCAUGUGACUCUUAAUCUCAGGGUUGCCACACAUUGGGCA